GUCCUGUUGAAAUGACCUUGUCUCUUUGCGUGCAAUGUAAAGCAGUAUUUUGACUCGAGAACUACCUGUUACUUUAAGUUUGUUAUUGUGUGAUAAAAAAUAAUAGAUUAGAGGAUUAUAAAGUGUCUUAUAAAGCAAAAAUGAAAGAUAUAGAUUCAAGACUGAAGCUGUUUUCUUGGCAUGAUAUUGUUUUGUGCUCUUUCGUUGUUAUACAUGAACAUUUCGUGUAUAAUGAUUGCACAAUAAAGCCAUAUGUUGAACCUCAAGGAUGGUCAGACAUCUUCCUAUGCACCUCGAUUUAGACAAUUUAACAGAAAA